CGGCCUUACAAUCACCAUGUCUAGCUAUGUGACAUGGUGGGGAAAGGGAACAAAUGCUUGAUGUUAAACGAAGUGUCUAUGUAUUGUAACACAAUGGCUUAAGUCAUUCCUUACUGUUGCUUUCUGUUACAGUGAUAAGCAUUGACCAUCAACCAAGUGAGAAUCAGGAUACGGAUCAAACAUACAGUCUAAUCUCAGCUGUGCCAGUCGCAGCUGGUGUAAUCUCUCCAACUGAUCCUACAGGAGAUGAGGCACUGUACAGUGUAAUAACUAGAGUGAAAAGACCAGAACAGCAGGGUGAAACUGCCAUCUCUGCCAAAGUGACCAAAACAAAAAAGGAGAAAGAAAAACAGGACCCUGUGUACAGUCUGCUGAACAGAGAGGACACCGUGAUACUGUAGUAGUGCUAUACUGUAGUGCUAUAUAGUAGUGCUA